AAACUCCAGUUUUGGUCCCAGCAGGGGCAUUGGCACACCCUAGUCAAAAUUCCCAGUCUUGGCUGCAGCUAACACCCAAUGCCUCUGUGGAAGGUUUAAAAACACCCUGACACAUGAAGCAGUAAUCAGUUGGAUACAAACUCUAACUGUGAUGUUGUAGCUAAGUCUAUGAAUCUAUUACUCCAGGAACUUUAAAAUAAUCAUGGAAAAUUCACAAUUUGCUCAUGACAGCAACACUGUAUGCCCCCACCUAGUCUGGAAGACCUCAUGUGUGCAUGGGGGAAUUGGGCUGGUCCUGUUGAGGGCUUUGUAUGUUAGAAAAAAAUUCCCAGGGGCCAUUGCACAGGGUCGAAUUGUUGUGGAACUCUGCAAACAAUUCAGUUGUUUAGUUUGCUUGUUAGUGUUAUUGCAUGAAAAUGUAACAGUGACAUUAAUUUACACACCCUUAGCAACUGAAAAAAACAGUGAUACACAUAUGAUGGCUGUAAACCCUGCCUAAUACGCCCACUGGCUUCAGCCCAAUGCAAGCAUAAUACUGCAAUGGUGAAGAGCUAGUGUCCAUACUUAUACCCCACUGCAAAAGAGUGGGGAAAAUGGAUGUUGCUGAUCUUAAAAACAUAGGUUUCCUAAUCUGGCCUAUGUUUUUGCCUUUCUGCAGCUGUUUCAGAAUGAUGUAAAUUGAAGUAUCUUUUUGGUUACUGUAGCAGUUUAGGGAAACAAUAUGCAUAAGCCAUCAUCGCACACUGACUAACCUUGUACUUUUAUUCUACCUCAGAUUCUGGCACCAUCUGUAGUGUGAAAACAUCCAUAAUUUGUCUAACACUGAUAUCUUUAAUCAAAAUCUGUUCAGCUCUCCUGGAAUUCCUCAUCAGCUCCACUACAAAUGCAAUGAGAUCAGGCACCCUCAACUGUUAUCUCUACGCUGUUCCCCUGAAUGUGGCUGCAGGUUUAAUGUAAUUUCAUUUCUAUUUAUCUCAACUAAGUUUAUAUUAUUAGACCUGGAUUACCCGUGAUUUCUGGGUGAAAUUAGUCUCUACUUAGCUGCCAUAGGGGAAUCCAGCAAUUGGGAUUUGACUUCCUGUAAGAGGCUUACAAAGCCUUAUUCCAGCUGUAUCAUUUUUGUUCUCCUCUUUCCUGGUUUGUUUUGCACAGGAUUUCUCCCUGGAGAACUGACGGUUAUCAUAGCAAAAGCACUGCAUAACCACCUAAGAAGGAGGUACCAGCGUACUUGUGAAUGCUGAGAUGCUGGGGCCAUGGUUUUUCUUCCCUAUGAGAACAGUUAAUCAGAGGAUGCCACUACUUGCUCAACCAAAGGCUGGUCUUCCUGGUCAGGCUAGAUUUUUCUCCAUGCAACAUAAUCUGCACUCUGGGAGAGAGAAGAUAGUGUAUUGUGGCUUAUGAAGUACACAAAGCUGGGUUCCUCAUAAACACGGCAAAAUCAAAGAAGAGGAUGCUUCUUCAUUUUACAAAAAUCUUCAACUCUCCAGAGAGUUUGGUGCUUAAGAAUCUCUGGCUAAGUGCAGACAUUUGGGGACAUUGGACAUUGAGGUUAGAUCAGGUUAAAAUGGCCACCCAGUCUAACUUAGUUCACCAGGUGCAGACCUUACAUUUAUAGACCCAGUCUUAGUGAUCAGAAAUCAAUUUAAACCCCAAACUAUCCAGAAGUUAUGUGCACAUGGGCUGUUCUUAAAAUGGUGGAACCUGGUCUAAGAUUGACUUGGAUCUCCCGCUUGUGAGCCUGGGCAUCAGUGUCACUGACGCCCAGGCUCGCAAGUGGGAGAAGUACGCCCUGCUGGCCGACAUCCUGAGGGGCCGUGGCUACGACAUGACGGUCGAUGCACUCAUUGUGGGAACGCUCGGAGCCUGGGACCCCAGCAACGAGAGUGUCCUGUGUGCCUGCCGUGUCUCCCACCGCAAUGCCAAGCUCGUGCGCUGCCUCAUGGUGUCCGACACCAUCCGUUGGUCCCGCAACAUCUACAUGGAACACAUCACGGGCCACCGCCAGUACUCCGACCCCACCAGAUGAACCGCCGCCAGACCAGACCCAGAGGGGACCGCCUGAACCCCCCCUCUGCACGCGAACCCCUUCCCUCUCCUUCCCCCUUCCCCCCACCCCCGGGCUUAGUUGGCUAACAUUGUAUCUCCUGUAACCUAGUUGUGUUUCCCUCCUCACCCUCAUCCUUCUAUUGUUAGUCCCUCACUCGGGUGACCUGUAUUUCCCUACCGGCUUUGUCAUCUUUUUUUGGAUUUACAAUCCUAAACAUCUACUAAUAAAACUUACUCACUCUAAGUUAGACUGGUGCAUGGAACUUCUGUACAGCUAUCUGUGAAACCCUAGGGCCAGGAAAGCCCAACUGCAACCCCAGGGCUGUGCUUUCCCUCCCCCCCUCCCGUCUCCCCCGCACCCCACUUGCUCCCUACCCUGUGGAUCAGCCAGCCCCAGCCCUGGCGCAUCAUACCUCCCAUCCUGCAAGCCGCUCUGGGUGCUGCCAGAUUUAUCAGCAUUCAUAGAAUCAUAGAAUCAUAGAAAGUUAGGGUUGUAAGGACAUCAGGAGGUCAUCUAGUCCAACCCCCUGCCCAAGCAGGACCAAAUAGAUCAUCCCAGCCAAAGCUUUGUCUAGCCGGGUUUUGAAAACCUCCAAGGAUGAAGCUUCCACCACCUCUCUGGGUAACCUGUUCCCGUGUUUUAUUACCCUCCUAGUGAGAAAAGCAUUCCUAAUAUGUAACCUAAACUUCCAUCACUGCAACUUGAGACUGUUGCUCCUUGUUCUGUCAUCUCCCACCACUGAGAACAGUCCAGCUCCAUCUUCUUUUGAACCCCGCUUCAGGUAGUUGAAGGCUGCUAUUAAUGUAGCAAAACCCCCAGUUUUUCUUUUUCUUUUUUUUAAUUUUAAAAUGCAUUCCCUCCCCUUCCCCAACCAUUUCUGACUUUUCUCUCCCUCUAUAUUCCCUAUACAUAAGUAUAAGUGAGCUCAAACUUAGGAUAUGCUUUAAACAUUUUUAUUUUGGUAGCAAGUUUUUGGUUUUGGAUAUCCAUUGUUUUAUAUUGUAUAAUUAUUAGGUUUGUAGUAAUUUUUACUGUUGUAUAUUGUAUUAUUAUCAUUUUUGUAUUGAUUUUUAUUGUUUCAUAUGAAUAUUGUAUGGUUUAGGCCUGUGUUUUUAAGUGAACCAAAGUCAUGUCAAGUUUCCAUUUUAUAUGUCAAGCCUCCAUCUUCUGUCCUCUGCCUGGGUGUCCCAUGUUGCAACAAUAUGAUUCAUUGUACCCCUCCCAUGUAAAUUGGUUCCCAGAUGAAUGAGAAUGAUUGGGAAUGAUUGAAAUACAAUGGUAGCAGGCCUCUACUGAAUGGCCUGUAAUGACUGGGCCAUCACCUCGCAUUGAUUCACCCAGGAACCAUGGACCUCACCCAGGAACAGAGACAAGACCAGCAUUUGAAAAACAUAAGAUCCAGCAGAACCAGCAACUCUAUCAUUGUACCCCACCAUUACAGACACCGGAAACUGCACAUCCCUGCAUGCAGCACACAUGCUCAGUACACCAGGGGCUGACCCUUGCCUGGGCAUGCCUCCUGUCAUUAGGGUCACACACAGUCUGCCCCUAUAAAAAGGGGCAGUGAAGACAGACCCAGUGGGAAUGCCAUUUCCAUACGGACCAGACCAGCUUCACGUCACUUAUCCAUCCCAGAGACCCUGCUAGCGACCCCUCUGGACAACACCGAGCUGAAGGAGACCCCAACUGGCCAUCAAGGAUCAACUUCCAGCUUGGGAUAGGUAGGUAUUACCUGCACAUCUCCUCCUACAAUGUGGACUCUCUCUCUCUCUCCUCCUGAACUUCAGUGGACUUCAGCCCCUGCACCAAGCCUCUUUAACCCCUGCUGCCAUUGUGUGUGCGUGCGUGCAUGCAUGUGUGUGGGUGCAAGGGAACAAAUUUGGCAUUGUGUCACCAUCUCCCCUGUUCAAUAAAACCACUGUCAUUUGCAACCCCGAGCUGGGUCAUGCUUUACUGAAUCCCAGUCCCUUCCCUAUCUGAAAUUCCAGCCUCAUUCUCUCUCUCUCUCUCAGCUCCAGUUCCCACCCUCUCUGCUAGUUUCCCGAUCUCCUCCCAAUUCCAUCUCCCCUUGUCUGCCACCUCUCAGCCUCUCCUUGCUUCCCUGCCACCUGCUGCUUUUCCUGUGAUUUUCUGCUGUCUGUCUCUCUGUUUUCAGGCUUCCCCCACACUUUCUGUAAUCCUCCCCCCUGCCCCCUGCAGCUUCCCAGCUCCACUUCGCUGUCCUGCAGCUUUCUCCAGCAUCCAGCACCUACUGCUGCUCCCUGCAACUUCUCUAGCUGCCCCAGAGCCAUCCUCUGGCUCCCCACACCCAGAGCUCCUCUUUAAUACCCACACUUUCCCUUAGUCCCAUUUUCCCUGUCCCCAUCUACCUUUUCA